UUAAUAGUAAAAUNUGCUCAAUGAAUACCAUUCAAUAGCCGCAAUUAGUGCUAAGGUAGCAUAAUCAUUUGUCUUUUAAAUAAAGACCAGAACAAAAGAUUUAACAUUUAAUUUUCUUUAUUUAAUUUUCAAAUCAAAAUUUACUUAAACGUAAAAAGGCAUUUUAUCCUUUUGAAAGACGACAAGACCCUAUUGAACUUAACUCUUGUUUAACUGGGGUAGUUAAUUAAUUAAUAUUUUAAUUUUAAUAAUAUACCUAAUAUCUAAUAUUAUUAAAUAAUCUAGUUACCAUAGGGAUAACAGCGCAAUUAUUUUUAUAAGUUCUUAUAUAAAAAAUAGAUUACGACCUCGAUGUUGAAUUAAUUACCUAAUUAAAGCAAAUUUUAAAAAAGGAAGUCUGUUCGACUUUUAAAAAAUUACAUGAUUUGAGUUCAGACCGGUAUAAGCCAGGUCGGCUUCUAUCUUCCAAUAACAUUUAUACAGUACGAAAGGACCUAUUAAUAUAAUAAUAUUAUUUUAUUAGCAAAUAAAUGCAUUAGAAUUAGAAUCUAAUUAAUCUUUAA
rnacentral:rRNA from 1 species